CCUUCUACAAAAACUUUCUUGACAGGAAAUUUUGCUGGUUCUGCAAACAGUAUGCAUCUCUGCAUGAUAUAUUUCUGAUGAAUUUUCGUCAAAAUUUAUUGCUGUCAACUAAAGCGUCAUUUCCUAUCGGAAAAGGUAUUGUUCGAGUCUAAGAUGCUGUAUAAUUUUUGACAAUACUGGAUAUUGUUAGCAGUAAAAGCGUCGAAACGAAUCAGAUCACAACACUCCGUUGUUUUUUUUUGUGACAUCACAUGUCUCAUACGCCUAGCGUUCUGAGUAUGUCCGAACGGGUUAAAAUACGGACUAUUUCGUCAAACCUUUUGGCAAACACAGCAGCAAAAACAG